rnacentral:rRNA from 1 species
CCAUGAGAAUCGAACUGGGCUCCGAUACCAAAUGUAAGCGUCCUUGGGUUUGAAUAGUACUGGGCUGGGUGACCUCCUGGGAAGUCCAAAC